UAGAGUUUGAUCCUGGCUCAGAACGAACGCUGGCGGCAGGCUUAACACAUGCAAGUCGAGCGCCCCGCAAGGGGAGCGGCAGACGGGUGAGUAACGCGUGGGAAUCUACCUUUUGCUACGGAAUAACUCAGGGAAACUUGUGUAAUACCGUAUGUGCCCUUCGGGGGAAAGAUUUAUCGGCAAAGGAUGAGCCCGCGUUGGAUUAGCUAGUUGGUGGGGUAAAGGCCCACCAAGGCGACGAUCCAUAGCUGGUCUGAGAGGAUGAUCAGCCACACUGGGACUGAGACACGGCCCAGACUCCUACGGGAGGCAGCAGUGGGGAAUAUUGGACAAUGGGCGCAAGCCUGAUCCAGCCAUGCCGCGUGAGUGAUGAAGGCCCUAGGGUUGUAAAGCUCUUUCACCGGUGAAGAUAAUGACGGUAACCGGAGAAGAAGCCCCGGCUAACUUCGUGCCGCAGCCGCGGUAA
rnacentral:rRNA from 1 species